rnacentral:tRNA from 1 species
UCCCUGGUGGUCCAGUGACUAGGACUCUGUGCUUCCAGUGCAGGGAUUCAGGGUUCGAUCCCUGGUCGGGGAA